rnacentral:rRNA from 1 species
UACGGAGGGUGCAAGCGUUAAUCGGAUUUAUUGGGCGUAAAGGGCGUGUAGGCGGAUUGGAAAGUUGACUGUGAAAUUUUCGGGCUCAACCCGGAACCUGCAUUCAAAACUUCCAACCUUGAGGAUAGACGGAGAAACGGAAUUCACAUGAGC